GGGCCCGUAGCUCAACUGGGAGAGCGCCAGGUUCGCAAUCUGGAGGUCGAGGGUUCGAUCCCCUUCGGGUCCACCA
rnacentral:tRNA from 1 species